GCUGGAAUUCUUCUUCGGAAGAUAGUACGGUGGCGGACGGGUGAGUAACGCGUAAAGAAUUUGCCCUUCAGACUGGGACAACUAAUCGAAAGGUUAGCUAAUACCGGAUAUUAUGAGACCUUGGCAUCAAGGACUUAUGAAAGCUAUAUGCGCUGGAGGAGAACUUUGCGUUCCAUUAGCUAGUUGGUAGGGUAAUGGCCUACCAGGGCAACGAUGGAUAGCCGGCCUGAGAGGGUGAACGGCCACAAGGGGACUGAGACACGGCCCUUACUCCUACGGGAGGCAGCAGUGGGGAAUAUUGGACAAUGGACCAAAAGUCUGAUCCAGCAAUUCUGUGUGCACGAUGAAGGUCUUCGGAUUGUAAAGUGCUUUCAGGUGGGAAGAAGAA
rnacentral:rRNA from 1 species